rnacentral:rRNA from 1 species
GACGAACGCUGGCGGCGUGCCUAAUACAUGCAAGUAGAACGCUGAAGAGAGGAGCUUGCUCUUCUUGGAUGAGUUGCGAACGGGUGAGUAACGCGUAGGUAACCUGCCUGGUAGCGGGGGAUAACUAUUGGAAACGAUAGCUAAUACCGCAUGACAUUGAUUAUCGCAUGAUAAUUGAUUGAAAGAUGCAAUUGCAUCACUACCAGAUGGACCUGCGUUGUAUUAGCUAGUUGGUGAGGUAACGGCUCACCAAGGCGACGAUACAUAGCCGACCUGAGAGGGUGAUCGGCCACACUGGGACUGAGACACGGCCCAGACUCCUACGGGAGGCAGCAGUAGGGAAUCUUCGGCAAUGGGGGGAACCCUGACCGAGCAACGCCGCGUGAGUGAAGAAGGUUUUCGGAUCGUAAAGCUCUGUUGUAAGAGAAGAACGGGUGUGAGAGUGGAAAGUUCACACUGUGAC